UCCUCGUUAACCGAGGCAGUCUCGUAUGAGAAGUACAACAUACGACGAGGGUUGCGUUCGUUGCGGGACUUAACCCAACAUCUCACGACACGAACUGACGACGGCCAUGCAGCGCCUGUCACCGGUCCAGCAAACUGACUCCCGUGUUUCCACGGGAUACGACCGGGAUGUCAAACCUGGGUAAGGUUCUCCGCUUAUCGUCGAAUUAAACCACACGCUCCACCGCUUGUGCGGGUCCCCGUCAAUUCCUUUGAGUUUUAAGCUUGCGCUCGUACUCCCCAGGCGGGUUGCUUAACGCGUUAGCUUCGAUACCCAGAGGAUCUAUGCUCCAGAUACCUAGCACCCAUCGUUUACGGCGUGGACUAC
rnacentral:misc_RNA from 1 species